GACGAACGCUGGCGGCGUGCUUAACACAUGCAAGUCGAACGGAAAGGCCCUGCUUUUGUGGGGUGCUCGAGUGGCGAACGGGUGAGUAACACGUGAGUAACCUGCCCUUGACUUUGGGAUAACUUCAGGAAACUGGGGCUAAUACCGGAUAGGAGCUCCUGCUGCAUGGUGGGGGUUGGAAAGUUUCGGCGGUUGGGGAUGGACUCGCGGCUUAUCAGCUUGUUGGUGGGGUAGUGGCUUACCAAGGCUUUGACGGGUAGCCGGCCUGAGAGGGUGAACGGCCACAUGGGGACUGAGAGACGGCCCAGUCUCCUACGGGAGGCAGCAGGGGGGAAUAUUGCACAAUGGGCGGAAGCCUGAUGCAGCAACGCCGCGUGCGGGAUGACGGCCUUCGGGUUGUAAACCGCUUUCGCCGGUGACGAAGCGUGAGUGACGGUAAUGGGUAAAGAAGCACCGGCUAACUACGUG
rnacentral:rRNA from 1 species